UUAGCCGUGGCUUUCUGAUUAGGUACCGUCAAAAUGUGCACAGUUACUUACACAUAUGUUCUUCCCUAAUAACAGAGUUUUACGAUCCGAAGACCUUCAUCACUCACGCGGCGUUGCUCCGUCAGGCUUUCGCCCAUUGCGGAAGAUUCCCUACUGCUGCCUCCCGUAGGAGUCUGGACCGUGUCUCAGUUCCAGUGUGGCCGAUCACCCUCUCAGGUCGGCUAUGCAUCGUUGCCUUGGUAAGCCGUUACCUUACCAACUAGCUAAUGCAGCGCGGAUCCAUCUAUAAGUGACAGCAAGACCGUCUUUCACUUUUGAACCAUGCGGUUCAAAAUAUUAUCCGGUAUUAGCUCCGGUUUCCCGAAGUUAUCCCAGUCUUAUAGGUAGGUUAUCCACGUGUUACUCACCCGUCCGCCGCUAACAUCAGAGAAGCAAGCUUCUCGUCCGUUCGCUCGACUUGCAUGUAUUAGGCACGCCGCCAGCGUUCAUCCUGAGCCAGGAUCAAACUCUAAGCC
rnacentral:rRNA from 1 species